rnacentral:misc_RNA from 1 species
GAAACAUUCUUUCUUUGUGUAAUUUUUGUACAAAGAUCCUUUAGAUGAUAAACAUCAUGGAAGUAUUUUCAAUAUGUAAAUCAUUCCAAAACAAAACAAGAUUCACGCAAUAAUAUAAAAGAGGAGAAAAACCAAGUUAACAAAUAACAAUCAUUUAACCUUGUAUGUAAAGGGACGUCUUAACAUCUAUAGAUUCCCAGUUCCCAAUUCAACUUUCAAUGAAAGGGCCUCAUCAGCAUCUAAAUUUACAUUGUUGGAAGUCGCAUGUAAGUACCCAGUAGGACCAAAGGUAUGAACCCUAAUAAAAUCCUUUUGUUUUAGACAACCCACAAAAAUUUGAUUACAGUUCAGGACUUCCAUGGCCAACACUCUGCCUUCAUCUACACGAACAUCAAGUCUUCGAGUAAACCUGGAAUAUUAGAAUGAUGAGGUGCCCGCUGAAGAAUAUCCAGCAGCUCUCAUUUCUUUCAAAGUUGAAGCUAACCAAUCCAAGCCCUCGUACAGGCCGUCUCCCCUCAGCGCACAAGUCCCUUGUAUGUGCCAUUUUCUGUUCUUGAGUUCAAAAAGGCCUAAUCCUUCACAUACUUCCAUUGGCGUCAUUGCUCCUUUCUUAACAACAGAAACAGACACUAAUAUAUAAAUUUGAAGCUUUGCAUGUUUUAUUUAUGCAAGCAGCAAAUGCAAAUGCAUAUGCAAUUCACUCCACUCAGCCAAGUUGGCAGCACGCUAAUGACAGAUCUAAUAAAAUGAAGGUUAUGAAAUAUCAUUUCACUAUAUCAGAUAAAACUACACACUAGGGCUGUCUUUCCCAGACACGUGAAGGCAAUAGAAACAAACAAACAAACAAGCAGACACCACAGUAUAUAAGCAUGCAUGUCUACUUCACCCUUUUCAUAUAACUGUCAACUUCUUCUUCCCUUUUUUUUUGCAUUCUUUAUUAUUUAUUUCAUCUAUACUUAUGCAACUCUAAAUAUCUUAGCCCAUUAAUAAUUCUGAUAUUGAUGUUGAUAAAAUGUGGAUAACCAAGAAGCUUAACCAUUGCAAACCACUAGGAAAGCAGUUGAAUUAACCAUGUUGGGAAUUUACUAGCAAUACUUAAUGGAAAAAUAAGCAUCACAAAUUUUGAAAUCCAUGCCUAAGCAAUCCUUUUUCCGCUUCCAGGGCGAUGUGGAGACAAAUUUGCAUAUCCAUCAGAGGAAAGGCAAUCUGGAUACCUUCAUGGAUGUUAAAAUUGUUCAAAAUUAACAUGGUCGAAACGCAGAAAACAAGACCUUCAAAUUUCAUUUAUGUCAAAUGCUUACUAUUCCUGUGAAAUAAAUAUUGGAAAUAACCAAUUCAAGUAAUUUUGGGUCUCUUCAGAUUAUCUUCAGCUUCCUAAUUUUACAGAUAAAAAUCAAUAAUAAAUGGAACAUGUAAAUUGUUAAGAUGAUAAAGCCAAUAAAAUGAGAACAAAGGCCAAAAGACAAAGGAUAAUGUUGAAGAAUGAAUCAAAUCCAGGAAAAGAUGCAACAGAGCUACAUGACACCCUGGCCAUUGCCAUUGUCAUCCUUGCUACUGUAUUGCCCCCAAAACAGCCAUCACAAGGAUCAGUAAUCCAUAACAGUGCUAUAACCAUCAGCACCACUGCCACUGCCUUAAAAGUUAAAAUAAUUAAUGCAAUGUCCACAAGCAUAACAAGAAAACCACUUCUACUCGCACUGCAUGAGAUGAAGAUAUCAGCACCACCAUCAUCACAAUGUCCAAUUCCUCCAAUGCCUAUGCCUUGUUGCACCAUGACAAGGCCCAGAUAGAGUUCUUAUGUAAAUUUGUAAUUGUCAGAUACAGAAAUCUAUCAAGCUUUUGUCUCAAAAGAAUUGUUAAAAUGCAUUCCUAUUUUCAGUGAAGUACAAUAGGAAAAUACUGAGAAAGGAGGGAGGGGAGUAGGAACACAUAACAGGCCCUAAGAAAACUAACUACUAGCUCAGGCUUUCUUUCCUUCUUCAUCAUCCCACCUAUCCUUCACUUUUAAGAAAGAUCUCAAGGACGUACAAGACAUGAGAAAAGACUUGCUUCAAGAUUAAAAGGCUAGUAGGAUAAAUCAGCUCUAACCCUGUCAGUCAUUCACUCGUCUUUCAAAUUGCUUUCUAUUUAGCCUUUCCAUUUUUGAAAACUUGGAAAAUUCAAUGCCAUGCAAUUUCAAUGAAUCUUACAGUAUGUUAUCCAAAAGAAAAUAACUAGGUAUGUCGGGACAUGAAGAUCAAAGCCAAGUAAGCAAGUAUGGGAAUACCUUCAUUUUGCAUUUAGGUGCAAUUUAUGGAGUCACAAAACAAGAAAGCUAAUCUAGUAGCAAAAUAUAUUAAUGAAGUGCCCAGGUCGUUCAGAUUUCAGACUAAUUAUGGUUUCCACAUACAUAUGUAACCCCCACAGGCUAUGCUCCAAUCCAAUUUUCUAGAUGUAGACUAGUUACAAAGUGCCCAAAGAUCAUGUCAAAUACUAAGUUCAAUAAGCAGCACUGAUUCUAACCAAAAAGCCCUCAUUGUAGUUGUCCUCAUUUUCUAAUGCUACUUUCAAGGCAUCAAAACUGUAUUUUGUUUUUUCUUUGAAAAAAAAAAGGCUACUUGCAUAC